rnacentral:lncRNA from 1 species
UCAGUAUGCACGAAGCUGGGGUUCAACCUUCAGCACCACAUAAGCAGGGCACAGUGGCACGUGCUUGUAAUUCCAAGACUCGGGAAGAUCAGAAGUGAAGGUCAUCUUUGUUAUAUAGUCAGGUCCAGUAGAGCCUGGGCUUCAUGGGAGCAUUCCUUGAUUAAAAAUAAUCAUCAUGAUCGUGACGGGAGACAUAUCUAAAAACAGUGACUACAGAGACGAAAUAUAAAGCCAAAACCACCAAGUGCAAAGGACCAUCCUAGAACAUUCUCUGUCUGUCUCUGGGAUGAUAAAAGCCUUUAUUUGUUAGGCAAGCAUGAGCAAGCCUGAUCUCUGUUAAUCUUGGCUAAACCAAAAGACAGGAAGUAUCCAAGAGAGCAGCAUGCCUUUGCCAUCAUGCUCUAAGACUUUUUUAUUUUAAAAAAGACAAACAAACAAACAAACAAACAAAAAACCCACACCUUUUCUGCAAAAGAACAGAAAGUAAGUAUCCUAGGUUUGGAGGACCACAUAUUUACCUCUGUCACCACUAUUCCAUUCUGCCACCAAGGCACAAAACAAGACAAACAUGUAAGCAAAUAAAAAUGUUCUUGUUUUUGUUUUAAAAAAAAAAACCUAGUAAUAAACACCGAAAAUUGAAUUUUAUUUAA